rnacentral:rRNA from 1 species
UACGUAGGGGGCAAGCGUUGUCCGGAUUCAUUGGGCGUAAAGAGCGUGUAGGCGGCCAGGUAGGUCGGUUGUGAAAACUGGAGGCUCAACCUUCAGACGUCGACCGAAACCAUCUGGCUAGAGUCCGGGAGAGGAGAGUGGAAUUCCUGGUGUAGCGGUGAAAUGCGUAGAGAUUAGGAAGAACACCAGUGGCGAAGGCGACUUACUGGACUGUAACUGACGCUGAGGCAUGAAAGCGUGGGGAGCAAACAGG